rnacentral:tRNA from 1 species
GGGAGCAUUCCAGAGCGGCCAAAUGGGACAGACUGUAAAUCUGUUGACGUAUGUCUUCGGUGGUUCGAAUCCACCUGCUCCCA